rnacentral:rRNA from 1 species
CCGUGCCCAAGAGAUCGGGAUAACACCUGGAAACAGAUGCUAAUACCGGAUAACAACAGAUGAUGCCUAUCAACUGUUUAAAAGAUGGUUCUGCUAUCACUCUUGGAUGGACCUGCGGUGCAUUAGCUAGUUGGUAGGGUAACGGCCUACCAAGGCGAUGAUGCAUAGCCGAGUUGAGAGACUGAUCGGCCACAUUGGGACUGAGACACGGCCCAAACUCCUACGGGAGGCAGCAGGA